GUCCAGGGAUGGGAAACGAACCCACAAUGUUCCGCUUACCGGGCAGAUGCCAUGUCCACUAAGCUACCCUGGA
rnacentral:tRNA from 1 species